UCGGCCCUGCGCCGUUUCAUCUGGGUUUACUUCGCAGCGAGCGGACGUGCCGGUGGAAGUGUGCGAGGGUUUCUUGAAAUAUUGCGGUGUUUUUCGGUGCAGUGAUUAAGGAAGUGACAUAGUAUCAAAGGUAGUAUUGCUGCCUACAUGGGGCAUGGAAUUUUUCGUGUUUGGGUGAUAGAAAUGCCCCAAUGACGACACAUUUGCUCAGCUCGUCUUGGUAUUGGCUGUUCUAUUUGGAGUGCGGCGAGUUAUCUUCCGUAAAUUAAUGCACUCCUGGUUGCUGACAUGAGUGGUCCACCGUACUAUCCCCAUGUAUACAGACCAUCGGCCCACGACUCGCCGUACCAGCCGCCGGCCAGCGCAGCGCUCUCGCCGCCCAUGUCGCAGGCGCGCCUGCCCUACUCGGCGGCCGGCAGCGGCUACCACCCGGCGUCAGUGGUGGUGACGGCUGCCGCACCGGCCGCCGCCCACCACGACGUGC